CGAAGGGUGCAAGCGUUACUCGGAAUUACUGGGCGUAAAGCGUGCGUAGGUGGUUCGUUAAGUCUGAUGUGAAAGCCCUGGGCUCAACCUGGGAAUGGCAUUGGAUACUGGCGACCUAGAGUGCGGUAGAGGGGUGUGGAAUUCCCGGUGUAGCAGUGAAAUGCGUAGAUAUCGGGAGGAACAUCUGUGGCGAAGGCGACACCCUGGACCAGCACUGACACUGAGGCACGAAAGCGUGGGGAGCAAACAGGACUAGAUACCCUGGUAGUCCACGCCCUAAACGAUGCGAACUGGAUGUUGGGUGCAACUUGGCACUCAGUAUCGAAGCUAACGCGUUAAGUUCGCCGCCUGGGAAGUACGGUCGCAAGACUG
rnacentral:rRNA from 1 species